GGUUUUCAAAGACAAACCUUCCCAUAGGCCAGAUUCAUUACGUCACCCCGGAAGACUGCAAAACGAAAGAGGGGCUUUUAAUGAUUUACACGUGGACGAAGGAGGCUCUGCUUUUUGGGUCGAUGAAAGAAGAAGUGGUAAAACGGAAAGUAGUUGAACAACUCGAAGAAAUUCAUCCAACCUUCAAAGAAGAUAUGGUGACAGCCUUUAUUGUUCAUGCUUGGAAUAAUCUGCCAUCUUAUCAAGGAGCGUAUGGAGAAGUGAAAACAUCUCAUUACGAAAGUACAAGGCAUUUAUGGGAGCCAAUGGGUAACGUUCAUUUCGCUGGUGAAAGAAUUUCUUUUACCCGUAAGUGGAUACAAGGUGCUUUAGAAAGUGGUUUAAAAGCUGCAUUUCAGGUUUAUGAACGACAUAUGGAAAGAACCUGGAACCAUACAUUUUUUUAGACAAAGAGCAUGGCAAAAAUAAACAGGAAAAAUGAAUGCUGGCAUGGACAUGUGAAAUAUUUACACAAGAAGAGUUAUCGCUCUAUGAAGAACGUGAUUUUAAUAAUUCUAAUUGUACUUCUUGAAAAUACAUUGAGUUUUCGUCAAUCAUGUUCUUAUUAAAUUAUUCAUUUUCGAAA